rnacentral:rRNA from 3 species
AAAGAAAGCGUAAUAGCUCACUGGUCGAGUCGGCCUGCGCGGAAGAUGUAACGGGGCUAAACCAUGCACCGAAGCUGCGGCAGCGACACUCAGGUGUUGUUGGGUAGGGGAGCGUUCUGUAAGCCUGUGAAGGUGUGUCGUGAGGCAUGCUGGAGGUAUCAGAAGUGCGAAUGCUGACAUAAGUAACGAUAAAGCGGGUGAAAAGCCCGCUCGCCGGAAGACCAA